rnacentral:misc_RNA from 1 species
UCUGGGGAGGCUGUUUCUUCUUUCUUUUUUUGGUUAUUUAUUAGUCUUUUGUGUUAAUUUGGGCUUUUCUUCACAGCGGACUCAGGAAAUCCCUGGAAAUGUGUUACAUAUUGAUGGAGGAGUGGACCGAAUAAUGCCAUAUCGUUCCGGGCGCGAAAGUGAAACAAAAUAAGAUCAAUGUUAAGCAGUCACAUCAUUAUAUUGAAUUAUAAAAGUGAGACAAACAUAACAGUGACACAACAGCGACACACAGUGAAGAGUAGCUAACACAGUAACACCGUUGUCGAGGCAAGAAGGCAGUAAGGUAAUGGCGGGCGGCGGUGGCGGGGUAGCAGCAGACGACGUGAGCAUGGCAGGCUUCCACGACAAGAAUUCCCGAGUGGUGGGCACAUGGAAGAUAAUUGAAUGUGUGUCCCUAUCAGGCUCAUCUGAAGCUACUGGCAUUGAGGGCACUGAGUUUGUUCUGUCUGAGGCCGGGGAUGUGACGUGGAGUGUGACGGACAGUUGUGACUCCCUGCCACUCUUCUCCUGCCAGAUGUAUGAGGUGUACACUUACCAGAACUUGCAAUGCUAUGGCAACCGCACCUUGCUUCGCUUUGCUGCCUACAAUGGACACAUCAUUGAGUUCAGGCUGGACCAACCAGUGAUGUCUCGGGACCUGAUGUUGCUCACGUAUGAUGGAUGGUUUAUGCUGCAGUGCGAGAAGCUGGGGGUUCCGGAUGUAUCCCCUGACCUUCCCUACUCUCUCCUGCCGGCUCUCAGUGAUGGCUACUUCUCAGACAUCACCAUCACUGCCAAGUCAGGAAGGAAGUUUGAGGUCCACAGCAUCAUUCUACAGUCCAGCGUACCUGACAUAGAGUGGAAGUCUCUGGAGGGAAUGGAAGACCCAGCCCUUGAAACAGUCCUCCACUACUUGUACACUCGCUGCUUGCCUCCCACCCUCACCCCAGAGACUGCCCAGCGCACCCUGGACGCCACUGCACACCUUGUCCCUGCCCUCACUGACCUUAAGGAAAAGUGUGAGGUCUUCAUCAGAAACACGGCUCUUAGAAACAGGCUGGUGUCACUGAUGGAGGAGGUGCAGGAGUGUGUGGAGGUGAUGGUGCAGAUCUUCAACCCAACAGAUCCAGCAGCCACCAGCCCCACACACCUCAUCUCAGUCCUCAAGGCAGCUCUAAGACAGAUGGCAAUAGGUGUAGUGAAAGUGGUGGAGCUGAGCCAGGAGUUUGAGCGGUGUGGGUGGCGGCUUACACAGAGUGAGCAGCAUGAGGUAAUGCGCUACACACGUUCCUGCCUGCCGCCACUGCUGGUGACGGUGGUGCGGCUCCUUGGCAAUGUGCGGGCCUCCCUGGUGGCUCUCAAUCACCACAAGCGGCAACAGUUGGCUCAGCAGCUGGUUCCUGAGAUCAGUGCAGUGCUGCAGACAGUGUGUGUGGAUGUGGGUUCCCUGCGGACAAGCUUGGAGCACAUCAUCCAGGCCUCCUCCACCUCCCUUGAGUCCUCUCACUCUCCCACGCACCUCCUCGCCAAGUCACUUAGAAAUGAUCUCCAUCUCCGAGAGCUGCAGAAAUUGAGAAUCUUGCAGGAGAACUUGACCUCCUUCCUGAACUCCCUGGUGCACAAGAGGGAACAGUUUGAGGAAAUGGGGGGCGGGGCACGGGUCCGAGGGGUGGCCAGGAUUAUCAACCACUUCACAGAGGAGCUGAUGGUGCUGACGCUGAGGCUGGAGGAGGUGGCAGUGGCUCUGGAGGACAUGCUGGAGUGGUCCGAGUUCAAGUUUGUGUUCAAGGGCGCCACUUCCAAAGUGGGGAGCAUUGUGGAGCGUCUGGUGGAGCAUCGAGGGGUGAUGGAGGCGCUGGUACUGGAGAUGGUGGAGCGUGUGGGUCACCCUGCCUUCACCACGUCCCUGCAGCACCUUGGACUCCUGGCCCCCUCACAGCAUCCCUCAGCUGGGGAGUCUCCUUCACCUGUGGAUCUGAAAGGCCAAGAAUUCCGAUCUUCUCCUGAGGACCCUAGUUCACCAGGAGACGCGGACACCUUUGCUGACUCUGCCUCCCGCCCCUCCUGCCCCUUGGAUCAGCUUAGCAGUGGUGGUGGUGGUGGUGGUGGUAGUAGCAGGCAGCAGCAGUCACUUCCACAGCCUCAGCAGCAUUCCUCGUCCACAAAUUCCUCGUCCUCCCAGUCUGAAGGGGACCCACUCUCAGAUGACCUCCCCAAUUCCUUCUCUAAGCAGCUCAGCCUGGUGCGGCGUGUGUGCGAGCCACCACCAUCACGCACCAGUCCCCUCGCCCUCAAUGUGGCUCGCCUGCUGACCUCCCCCAUGCUCAGCGACAUGACCUUUGUGGUGGUACCUCCUGCGGAUGAUGAGACCUCCCCUUCCUCCAGCCUUGAGGACCUGCACACUAUGGAGGGGCAGGAUGCCAGGCCAGCCAGAGGUGCCAGCAAGGACUCCUACAGCAGCGAGUGGUCAGAGCACUGCACACCUUCCCACCCCGGCCCCCCACAACCAUCCUGCACCACCACCUCCACCACCACCACCUCUGUCUCCACCUCUGCCAUGCCCAAGGUGUCUUCAACUGUCGUCCGCAAAGUGAAGAAGUCCUUGAGCCUGGACCACCGUCCAUCGGCGCGGGUGAGCCUGCCCUCCCACGCCUACAGUCUUGACUGUGAUGCCGUGAGCUGCGGCAGCGACGGCGGGCUGCCUAUCGCCUCGCCGCGGACCAGGGAGAGCAGCAGCGACCGGGCCAGCACUGACCUGGCUACUGCUGCAGUCUGUGAUGGUAGUGUUAAGUCAGUUCGGGAGGAGGAGGUUGAAUGGGGUGGACGAGGCAAGGUUGCAGCAGCUGCUGUGCUCCCCAUGAACUGUGAUAAUAGUGGUGGGAUGACAGACUCUUCCUCUGGGGUGACAAGCUCCCCGUGCAUGGGCCAGGCAGGGCAGGCCCUCAGUGACUACAAGGCCUCAGCAGGGCCCAAGGAGCUUCCUGUCAGUGUGGGGAGCAAGGGGCAGGAGGAGGAGGGCUGUGUGACCAGAGAGGCAGCCAGACAAUCAAAACACCUCGAGGAAACUCGGCCAAGACUCAGUGAUGGGGAAGCACCGACCUCCAGCGGCAAGAGUGACAGGAAAGGAAGACUCACCAAGUCACCAAACAUUGUCAUAGAAGAUGGCCUCACCCCCACCAAGCCCCCAGAGCCUUCUGUCUCCCCGGCAUGGAGAGGCCAGCGGGGCGAUGGCACGCCCUGGGAAGGGGUGGAGCUGCACGCACACCGGGUGGUGGUGGCGGCGCGCUGCGAGUGGUUCAGACGUGCCCUGCUCUCUGGCAUGAGGGAGGCCAUUGACAGGUGCAUUGUGGUACACGGCUGCAGCGUGCACACCUUCCAGCUGUUGCUCCAGUUCCUCUAUGCCGGUCAUGUGGACUGCUCCGCUCUGCCACCGGAUCAGCUGGUGGAUCUCCUGGUGCUAGCAGAUCAUUAUGGGGUGGAUGCACUCAAGCUGCUGGUGGAGUCUGGUCUGGAGCAGCAUGUGGAUGAUGAUUCUGUGGUGCCGCUGCUGACCGUGGCUCAUCAUUGUAACGCUGCUCAUCUCAAGGAAGUGGUGGACAGGAGCCAUAGGGGAGGAGGUGUUGGUUGGGGGUGAAGGUGUUGGGGGCGGGGAGGACAGCCCCCUCUCUGUCUCCUCCACCGAUCCCCUCAUUGAUGACCCCACCAGCCUCAUUCAUCCACUCCAAUGUGGCAUGUGCGAGGAUUCCACAGGUGAGGGCAGUGGUGGUGGUGGUGGUGGUAGCAGGCUGGAAGCAGUCGUUCAGCAGCUAAGGGAGGUGGUGGGGCAGCAGGUCCCCCGCACUACUCUUAUUCAGAUCACACUUG